AACUGUCGGUUUGGCAACGAUCUUCGAUUAAAUUUACAAAAAGAAAAAAAUUGUUGAUUGAACCACCUUUUAUCAAAUGAGUUUUGAGCAUAAAAGAAUUGUUUGCCGUCGAUUGAAAAACGGGAAUGCCACCUCAUAUCCAUAUUGCCAAGGUCCGCGAUCUGUUUCUUCUUCCAUUUUUCCACCAGGUAAUAAUUCUUGGAUGAAACACCUUUGCUGAUCUUCUUUGCUUUGACCAAAGAAAAACUGUCUAUCUCCUAUAUUGAAGUGAAAUGCAACCGAAUAUAUCUAUAUAUCCAUUGUCCAUUAUCUGUUUCUUCGCCCACUUUUCCAUCAGGGAAAUGCAACAGAAUAUCCAACUUUCCAAGAUCCGAGAUCACUAAUAGUACCUAUUUUCACUUCAUGAUAGCCGUUACACGAAUAGAAAAUUAAGAACGAAGAAUAAAUAAUAUUAUCAGCCAGAUAUAUUUUAGCUCAUCAUAGGAUGACUUCAGCUACUUGUAUGGAACCAGAAGAUGGAAAUCAUUGCAAUUGUACGAAAUUCUCCAUUAAUUGCAUUUAUUUCGGAAAUAAGACACCUUCAGCCAGCUAAAUCAGUUCAGGACACAAACAUCAGGUGCUGGAGUGAAAUCAAUAGAUUAUUAUAGUGAUUGUAACAAUGAACGUGUUUUUAUAUCUGAUUCAACUGGCUGAAAAUAUCUCAAUAUAAUGUCUGGAUUUACCAUUUAGAUGUAAAGGCUUUACCAACUUACUGUUUUUGUCACAGUUGGAAGAAGCGUCACUUGAGCAACUACCGAUCCAAAUCAUAAAUAAAAAUGGAAUUGGUAUUGAAUCAAAAGAAAUAAGUAUUUUGGUAGAAAAAGUGCAAAACUAAACAAUUGAAAUGAAAUGAAAUAUUUAACGGAAUCCAUAA